rnacentral:rRNA from 1 species
AUUGAACGCUGGCGGCAUGCCUUACACAUGCAAGUCGAACGGCAGCACGGGAGCUUGCACCUGGUGGCGAGUGGCGAACGGGGGAGUAAUACAUCGGAACAUGUCCCGUAGUGGGGGAGAGCCCGGCGAAAGCCGGAUUAAUACCGCAAACGAUCUACGGAUGAAAGCGGGGGACCUUCGGGCCUCGCGCUAUAGGGUUGGCCGAUGGCGGAUUAGCUAGGUGGUGGGGGAAAGGCCUACCAAGGCGACGAUCAGUAGCUGGUCUGAGAGGACGAUCAGCACGACGUGAACUUAGACACGGUCCAGACUCCUACGGGAGGCAGCAGUGGGGAAUAUUGGACAAUGGGCGCAAGCCUGAUCCAGCCAUACCGCGUGGGUGAAGAAGGCCUUCGGGUUGUAAAGCCCUUUUGUUGGGAAAGAAAAGCAGCAGGUUAAUACCCCGCUGUUCUGACGGUACCCAAAGAAUAAGCACCGGCUAACUUCGUG